GGGCCUGCACAAGCGGUGGAGCAUGUGGUUUAAUUCGAUGCAACGCGAAGAACCUUACCAGGUCUUGACAUCCUCGGAACUUGGCAGAGAUGCCUUGGUGCCUUCGGGAGCCGAGUGACAGGUGCUGCAUGGCCGUCGUCAGCUCGUGUCGUGAGAUGUUGGGUUAAGUCCCGUAACGAGCGCAACCCUUGUCCUUAGUUGCCAGCACGUCAUGGUGGGAACUCUAGGGAGACUGCCGGUGACAAACCGGAGGAAGGUGGGGACGACGUCAGGUCAUCAUGGCCCUUACGACCUGGGCUACACACGUGCUACAAUGGCGGUGACAAUGGGCAGCGACCUCGCGAGGGGAAGCAAAUCCGUGAAAAGCCGUCUCAGUUCGGAUUGUACUCUGCAACUCGAGUGCAUGAAGUCGGAAUCGCUAGUAAUCG
rnacentral:rRNA from 1 species